AGUGUAUACGGGGAAGAGGGCGGGGCCAGGCUCCGCUCCGACAACCAUUGGAGCGCCUCGUGCUGGGCGGGCCUAAAACUACAUUUCCCAAGGAUCACAGCAGGCACUAACCGGAAGGGGCGGCCUCAAAUCCAUUGCGCACGCGCACCAGGAGUCUGUCCUUAUAUAAGAGAGGUUCAGGCCUGUAGUCGGCCUUUCCCAUCUGCUGCGCUCUGAGGCUGAGGUCACCUCUGUUGUGCUUCAGAGAUUGUGGUUCCCGCCUCGUGAACCCACGUUGUGUGUACGGUUGUCGAAGUCAGGGAGUAUAGCAUGGAUGUGAGAGAACGGAGUCACCUCUGGGCCUAUGAGAGAUUCCGAUUUAGAUCUCUCCAACCUUGGAUCUCUUGACCUACGCGGUUUGCUAAGGCAUAAACCAGCCUUUGAAUGGAGCAGGAUGAAUUCUGAGCAUGGGAAAGGAUUGGUCUCAAGCUCUUAAGGCUGCAGUUUGUUGUCAGCUUGAUCUUUGGGGUGGUUCUCUGUCCUGUAAGAGAAGUCUCCUGAGCUGUGGAUGCAGUGGGAGUACAAGGCCUCUUGAAUAUCAGUGGUGUUCCUGAGCCACAAGGCUUUUGAGUAUUUGGCUUUCCAGAGUGCUGUGCCUGUUUCUUUGAAGAUUCAAAGAAUUUCUAAUUUUGUAACAACUUGCCUACUUUGGAAAAAUAAAAUUCUUGAAAUCA